rnacentral:rRNA from 1 species
GAUGCGAGCGUUAUCCGGAAUUAUUGGGUUUAAAGGGUGCGUAGGCGGAAUGGUAAGUCAGCGGUGAAAUACUGCAGCUCAACUGUAGUUGUGCCGUUGAUACUGUCCUUCUUGAGUAUAGAUGAGGUAGGCGGAAUGAGUAGUGUAGCGGUGAAAUGCAUAGAUAUUACUCAGAACACCGAUUGCGAAGGCAGCUUACUAAACUAUAACUGACGCUGAAGCACGAAAGCGUGGGUAUCAAACAGGAUUAGAUACCCUGGUAGUCCACGCUGUAAACGAUGAUUA